GACGAACGCUGGCGGCGUGCUUAACACAUGCAAGUCGAACGGAAAGGCCCUGCUUUUGUGGGGUGCUCGAGUGGCGAACGGGUGAGUAACACGUGAGUAACCUGCCCUUGACUUUGGGAUAACUUCAGGAAACUGGGGCUAAUACCGGAUAGGAGCUCCUGCUGCAUGGUGGGGGUUGGAAAGUUUCGGCGGUUGGGGAUGGACUCGCGGCUUAUCAGCUUGUUGGUGGGGUAGUGGCUUACCAAGGCUUUGACGGGUAGCGGGCCUGAGAGGGUGACCGGCAACAUUGGGACUGAGAUACGGCCCAGACUCCUACGGGAGGCAGCAGUGGGGAAUAUUGCACAAUGGGCGGAAGCCUGAUGCAGCAACGCCGCGUGCGGGAUGACGGCCUUCGGGUUGUAAACCGCUUUCGCCUGUGACGAAGCGUGAGUGACGGUAAUGGGUAAAGAAGCACCGGCUAACUACGUG
rnacentral:rRNA from 1 species